rnacentral:rRNA from 1 species
ACUCAAAUGAAUUGACGGGGACCCGCACAAGCGGUGGAGCAUGUGGUUUAAUUCGAAGCAACGCGAAGAACCUUACCAGUCCUUGACAUCCUUCUGACCGACUCUUAACCGAGUCUUCUCUUCGGAGCAGAAGUGACAGGUGGUGCAUGGUUGUCGUCAGCUCGUGUCGUGAGAUGUUGGGUUAAGUCCCGCAACGAGCGCAACCCUUAUCCUCAGUAGCCAGCAAUUCGGUUGGGAACUCUGUGGAGACUGCCGGGGAUAACCCGGAGGAAGGUGGGGACGACGUCAAAUCAUCAUGCCCCUUAUGGGCUGGGCUACACACGUGCUACAAUGGUGCUAACAAAGUGAAGCAAGCUGGUGACAGUAAGCAAAUCACAAAAAUGGCAUCUCAGUUCGGAUUGUAGUCUGCAACUCGACUACAUGAAGCUGGAAUCGCUAGUAAUCGCAGAUCAGAAUGCUGCGGUGAAUACGUUCCCGGGUCUUGCACACACCGCCCGU